AUUGAACGCUGGCGGAAUGCUUUACACAUGCAAGUCGAACGGCAGCACGGGUGCUUGCACCUGGUGGCGAGUGGCGAACGGGUGAGUAAUGCACCGGAACGUAUCCAAUAAUGGGGGAUAACGCACCGAAAGGUGUGCUAAUACCGCAUACGCCCUGAGGGGGAAAGCGGGGGAUCGUAAGACCUCGCGUUAAUGGAGCGGCCGAUGCCGGAUUAGCUAGUUGGUGAGGUAAAGGCUCACCAAGGCGACGAUCCGUAGCUGGUCUGAGAGGACGACCAGCCACACUGGAACUGAGACACGGUCAAGACUCCUACGGGAGGCAGCAGUGGGGAAUUUUGGACAAUGGGCGCAAGCCUGAUCCAGCCAUUCCGCGUGAGUGAAGAAGGCCU
rnacentral:rRNA from 1 species